UCAAAAUGCGAGGCAACUGCGCAGAGACCUAAAUACUUAAGUAGUUUCCGAGUGCUGCCAAAGACACACAGAGACACACAGGGCGACACAAGGCGACGCUUUCAUAUGCAGACACACGUUUUCUUCGGCGGAGGAGGCCCCAGAUACAGAUUCGUAUUCGAAGUCGGAUGCAGAUGCCAGCAGACAGAUAUAGAUAGUCAGAUACUCGGAUACUCAGAUAAUCAGAUACGAGCGGACAUAGCAAGCUGGAUUAAGCCUCCCAGCUACGAGCACUUCAAAUUGUGUUUGCCUCGCCUAUGUCGUCGAGCUGAAAACUUUUCAUCUUGGCUUCCUUCCCCAUUCGGCUUAAGAUUCUUGGAUUUCAGCCAGUGGCAACUUAGCAGCUCCUCCCCCGUCGUCAUGGCUGACAACCCUUGCAGGUAACCUUUCAUUUAACAUUAACCACCAAGUCCCAGCAGCCGACUAUUCACUACCCCUUCGCCCGAGCUUCCACACAGAAACUUCAAACGGACAAAAAGGAAAAUGUAACGCACCGAAACGCUCUUGUAACUUGCUAUCCAUGCCAGUCCGCCCGCUCCCCGCACCACGUGCCCCUUUCCCGGCCGGAAAAGUACGUGCCACGCCCACAUGCGACAUGCAAACGAAGACAAGAAAAACGCCGAAGCAGCAAUUGUAAUUUACUUAAUGAGCAACAUUUAGUCAGCCGACGAGUCCAGAUGGUCAUAAUAUAAAAGAAUCGGCGGAGGGGGAGAAAACUACCAUAGGAUUGAGGGAUGGCAAAUAGUAUGGGUGGUUGCUAAGUAAGUCAGACAAUACCAGAUUCUCGAACUAUAAAAUAUGUAAUAUGUGCAAUCUACGUCAGUGUUUGAAUUUGGCAAAUUAUUUGCAGUAUGUACUUUAAGCUAUCUGUUAGCCAUACAAAAUUUUGAAUUCAGAAAUUAUGAAUACAUAUUUGACUUAAACAUAAGAAUAUAAAAAUAAUGUGUUUAUUAAUAUAAUAUACUAAAAAAAUAAUGAAAUUAUCGUUGAAUUUUCCUUUACUUUUGAGAAUCAAAAAUACACCUCGUUAAUAUGUAUACUUAAUAUUCGACGUAUCGUAUUGCUCUUCCAUUAAGAACGACUGCAAUCUUUAGUGUGAGCAGAUCG